rnacentral:rRNA from 1 species
GUGGGGAAUAUUGGACAAUGGGCGAAAGCCUGAUCCAGCCAUGCCGCGUGAGUGAUGAAGGCCUUAGGGUUGUAAAGCUCUUUCAGUAGGGAAGAUAAUGACGGUACCUACAGAAGAAGCCCCGGCUAACUUCGUGCCAGCAGCCGCGGUAAUACGAAGGGGGCUAGCGUUGUUCGGAUUUACUGGGCGUAAAGCGCACGUAGGCGGAUUGGUCAGUUAGAGGUGAAAUCCUGGAGCUCAACUCCAGAACUGCCUUUAAUACUGCCAGUCUAGAGUCCAGAAGAGGUGAGUGGAACUCCUAGUGUAGAGGUGGAAUUCGUAGAUAUUAGGAAGAACACCAGUGGCGAAGGCGGCUCACUGGUCUGGUACUGACGCUGAGGUGCGAAAGCGUGGGGAGCAAACAGGAUUAGAUACCCCUGUAGUAC